UACGUAGGGUGCGAGCGUUAAUCGGAAUUACUGGGCGUAAAGCGUGCGCAGGCGGUUUUGUAAGCCAGGUGUGAAAUCCCCGGGCUCAACCUGGGAAUGGCAUUUGGGACUGCAAGGCUGGAGUGCGGAAGAGGAGACUGGAAUUCCUGGUGUAGCAGUGAAAUGCGUAGAUAUCAGGAAGAACACCCGUGGCGAAGGCGGCUCUCUGGGACGGUACUGACGCUGAGACGCGAAAGCGUGGGGAGCGAACAGG
rnacentral:rRNA from 1 species